rnacentral:rRNA from 1 species
UUCCACACGUUCCCAUCCCGAACACGACCGUUAAGCCCUCCAGCGCCGAUGGUACUUGGACCGAAGGGUCCUGGGAGAGUAGGACGCCGCCAAGC